UACAGAGGUGGCAAGCGUUGUUCGGAAUUACUGGGCGUAAAGGGCUCGUAGGCGGCCAACUAAGUCAGACGUGAAAUCCCCAGGCUCAACCUGGGAACUGCGUCUGAUACUGGAUGGCUUGAAUCCGGGAGAGGGAUGCAGAAUUCCAGGUGUAGCGGUGAAAUGCGUAGAUAUCUGGAGGAAUACCGGUGGCGAAGGCGGCAUCCUGGACCGGCAUUGACGCUGAGGAGCGAAGGCCAGGGGAGCAAACGGG
rnacentral:rRNA from 1 species